rnacentral:rRNA from 1 species
CCUACGGGAGGCAGCAGUGAGGAAUAUUGGUCAAUGGGCGCGAGCCUGAACCAGCCAAGUCGCGUGAGGGAUGAAGGUUCUAUGGAUCGUAAACCUCUUUUAUAAGGGAAUAAAGUGUGGGACGUGUCCUAUUUUGUAUGUACCUUAUGAAUAAGGAUCGGCUAACUCCGUGCCAGCAGCCGCGGUAAUACGGAGGAUUCGAGCGUUAUCCGGAUUUAUUGGGUUUAAAGGGUGCGUAGGCGGCCUUUUAAGUUAGAGGUGAAAUGCUGUGGCUCAACCAUGGAAUUGCCGUUGAUACUGGGGGGCUUGAGGAUAGUUGAGGCAGGCGGAAUGCAUGGUGUAGCGGUGAAAUGCUUAGAUAUCACGCAGAACCCCGAUUGCGAAGGCAGCCUGCCAAGCUAUGACUGACGCUGAUGCACGAAAGCGUGGGGAGCAAACAGGAUUAGAUACCCUUGUAGUC